rnacentral:rRNA from 1 species
CCUACGGGAGGCAGCAGUGGGGAAUAUUGCACAAUGGGCGCAAGCCUGAUGCAGCCAUGCCGCGUGUGUGAAGAAGGCCUUCGGGUUGUAAAGCACUUUCAGCGGGGAGGAAGGCGUUAAGGUUAAUAACCUUGUCGAUUGACGUUACCCGCAGAAGAAGCACCGGCUAACUCCGUGCCAGCAGCCGCGGUAAUACGGAGUGUGCAAGCGUUAAUCGGAAUUACUGGGCGUAAAGCGCACGCAGGCGGUCUGUCAAGUCGGAUGUGAAAUCCCCGGGCUCAACCUGGGAACUGCAUUCGAAACUGGCAGGCUAGAGUCUUGUAGAGGGGGGUAGAAUUCCAGGUGUAGCGGUGAAAUGCGUAGAGAUCUGGAGGAAUACCGGUGGCGAAGGCGGCCCCCUGGACAAAGACUGACGCUCAGGUGCGAAAGCGUGGGGAGCAAACAGGAUUAGAUACCCGAGUAGUC